AGAGUUUGAUCCUGGCUCAGGACGAACGCUGGCGGCAUGCCUAAUACAUGCAAGUCGAGCGAACAGAUGAAGUGCUUGCACUUCUGACGUUAGCGGCGAACGGGUGAGUAACACGUAAGGAAUCUACCUAUAAGCGGGGGAUAACAUUCGGAAACGGGUGCUAAUACCGCAUAAUAUCUUCUUCCGCAUGGAAGAAGAUUGAAAGACGGCUCUGCUGUCACUUAUAGAUGACCUUGCGGUGCAUUAGUUAGUUGGUGGGGUAACGGCCUACCAAGACGAUGAUGCAUAGCCGACCUGAGAGGGUGAUCGGCCACAUUGGGACUGAGACACGGCCCAAACUCCUACGGGAGGCAGCAGUAGGGAAUCUUCCGCAAUGGGCGAAAGCCUGACGGAGCAAUGCCGCGUGAGUGAAGAAGGCCUUCGGGUCGUAAAACUCUGUUAUAAGAGAAGAACAAAUUGUAGAGUAACUGCUACAGUCUUGACGGUAUCUUAUCAGAAAGCCACGGCUAACUACGUGCCAGCAGCCGCGGUAAUACGUAGGUGGCAAGCGUUGUCCGGAUUUAUUGGGCGUAAAGGGAGCGCAGGUGGUUUCUUAAGUCUGAUGUGAAAGCCCACGGCUUAACCGUGGAGGGUCAUUGGAAACUGGGAAACUUGAGUACAGAAGAGGAAUGUGGAGCUCCAUGUGUAGCGGUGGAAUGCGUAGAUAUAUGGAAGAACACCAGUGGCGAAGGCGACAUUCUGGUCUGUUACUGACACUGAGGCUCGAAAGCGUGGGGAGCAAACAGGAUUAGAUACCCUGGUAGUCC
rnacentral:rRNA from 1 species